UUUGUUAUCCUCUCAUUCAGGACAUGUUCACCUAUUGUAUUGGAAGCUCACUUGGAGGGGAACCACUGUCAAAGACAACACACAGACUUUUCCACACAGUCUGCACUUUUAAUAGUUGGAAUGGGAAGGGUGUGUGAAACAUCCAGUCAAAUGUUUCUGUGCACACGCUGACGGAUGAAUACUGCAUCCAACCGGGGGGAAAGAAAGCAUGAGGAGUGACCGUGUUUGGACCCAAAUGAGAUAUACCAAGGUGGCGACUUGUCCAGGGUGUACCCUGCCUUCCGCCCGAAUGCAGCCGAGAGGGACAAGCGGUACAAAAUGGAUGAGAUGGAUCUGAAAAACCUGCCAAGAAGCCUCGAAAAAUCAUGACAGCUCAUCUGCCCACAUUCAAGACAUCCCAAGACGUGUGCUUCCGUUCCAAAGUUCUUGUUGUCCCCGUCGUUCGGAUGGGCUGAUGGAAUUCCUGUGGUGACGGAAUUGGGACGGCUCCUUCAUGGCGAGCAGUCGAGCGACGACAAGACACAAACUGAUUAAUAAGUCAAGCGACGUGACAGAACAGGGAAGUCCCUCAUGUUGCCUAGAGGCGGGCGGACCACAUGGGUCCUUGGAGCAGAAAAGGUUUUCUCGAUCCUCAGUCCGAGUAAGAUACCGAACCCUCGGAUCCUCAGUGGAUGAAGGAGGUAACUUUGACCAACUCAGUGGUUCUUAAUUAUUUUCUGUCGCGCUCCCCCUAAAGGACAUAAUUACUUUCACGCCCUCCGAAGCUCCUCAGAGGGUCUCAUUACCCCCCUGAGGCCCUCCUUUCAGGACCAGUCACAUUUGAACCUGUAUGCUAUCGGGGAAUGGAUACCAGUACCAAUUUGACAUACUUUUGUGUGU